CCGGCGCACGGUGAGUAACACGUAUGGAACCUGCCCUAUGCAGGGGGAUAAGCGGAAGAAAUUCCGUCUAAUACCGCAUAACACCUUUAGGAGACAUCUUCUUGGGGGUCAAAGGAGGCGACUCCGGCAUAGGAUGGCCAUGCGUCGCAUUAGCUAGUCGGCGGGGUAACGGCCCACCGAGGCGACGAUGCGUAGGGGUUCUGAGAGGAAGGUCCCCCACACUGGUACUGAGACACGGACCAGACUCCUACGGGAGGCAGCAG
rnacentral:rRNA from 1 species